GACGUAGGGCGCGAGCGUUGUCCGGAUUUAUUGGGCGUAAAGAGCUCGUAGGCGGUUUGUCGCGUCGACUGUGAAAACCCACGGCUCAACCGUGGGCUUGCAGUCGAUACGGGCAGGCUAGAGUUCGGUAGGGGAGACUGGAAUUCCUGGUGUAGCGGUGAAAUGCGCAGAUAUCAGGAGGAACACCGGUGGCGAAGGCGGCUUUCUGGGCCUUACCUGACGCUGAGGAGCGAAAGCUGGGGGAGCAAACAGG
rnacentral:rRNA from 1 species